rnacentral:sRNA from 1 species
UUCAGAUGGUUCAACCCUUAAGUUAGCGCUUAUGGGAAUCUCCCCCGCCCUGGUAGUCUUAGUAAGCUGGCCAGCUAAUGACUAAGAGCACCACGCUGACGAGUAGCUUCAUCAUGACCGAGUCCUUAUU